rnacentral:rRNA from 1 species
AACCCUUGUCCACUACGUUGCCAUCAUUUGGUUAGGGCACGUCUAGUGAGACUGCCGGUGACAAACCCGGAGGAAGGUGGGGAUGACGUCAAGUCCUCAUGGCCCUUAUGGUACGGGCUUCACACGUCAUACAAUGGUCGGUACAGAGGGUUGCCAAGCCGCGAGGUGGAGCCAAUCCCUUAAAGCCGAUACGUAGUCCGGAUCGUAGUCUGCAACUCGACUACGUGAAGUCGGAAUCGCUAGUAAUCGCAGAUCAGCAUGCUGCGGUGAAUACGUUCCCGGGCCUU